rnacentral:rRNA from 1 species
CGACCGGCGCACGGGUGAGUAACGCGUAUCCAACCUGCCCUUUACUAUGGGACAGCCCGUCGAAAGGCGGAUUAAUACCGUAUGUUGUCAUGUUGAUGCAUAUUUUCAUGACCAAAGGCUUCGGCCGGUAAAGGAUGGGGAUGCGUCUGAUUAGCUUGCCGGCGGGGUAACGGCCCACCGGGGCGACGAUCAGUAGGGGUUCUGAGAGGAAGGUCCCCCACAUUGGAACUGAGACACGGUCCAAACUCCUACGGAAGGCAGCAG